GAUGAACGCUGGCGGCGUGCCUAAUACAUGCAAGUCGAGCGAACGGACGAGAAGCUUGCUUCUCUGAUGUUAGCGGCGGACGGGUGAGUAACACGUGGAUAACCUACCUAUAAGACUGGGAUAACUUCGGGAAACCGGAGCUAAUACCGGAUGAUAUUUUGAACCGCAUGGUUCAAAAGUGAAAGACGGUCUUGCUGUCACUUAUAGAUGGAUCCGCGCUGCAUUAGCUAGUUGGUAAGGUAACGGCUUACCAAGGCAACGAUGCAUAGCCGACCUGAGAGGGUGAUCGGCCACACUGGAACUGAGACACGGUCCAGACUCCUACGGGAGGCAGCAGUAGGGAAUCUUCCGCAAAGGGCGAAAGCCUGACGGAGCAACGCCGCGUGAGUGAUGAAGGUCUUCGGAUCGUAAAACUCUGUUAUUAGGGAAGAACAUAUGUGUAAGUAACUGUGCACAUGUUGACGGUACCUAAUCAGAAAGCCACGGCUAACUACGUG
rnacentral:rRNA from 1 species